CGAACUAAUGUAUUAGACACUUUGUAAAGCGAAAGUAGCAGUUAACCAAAUUAUACAAGAUACAACAGAGAGCCUGAUGGUCCACUAUAGAUUGUUUGCUGUAUCAUAGAGGCAUAAAAGCACAGAAUAUCACAUGAAAUUCACGUGAGUGGUCCAUCUCAAUGUUCGUAAAUAUAAUAGUAUGAUAUUUCAAACACUCUAGUGUAGGUAGUCAUCUACAAUGUCAAUGAGCUACCGUGUUUGUGUCUGAACUGCCUGAAAAAAGAUUAGUAAGUGAACGUUGAUGUCUGGAGCGAAGGCCUGUGGUCAGAAGCGUUCAUGUUUUCAGACACAUAAGCGACGGCAGCAGACACAAGAAACGGCUGAUAGUUGUAAAUUAUUUGUGUGCAUGUUGAUAUGAAAUGAGACUGCAUGGAGUCACUUAGUAGACUACCAAAAUUCAAAACCCCAAUUCUUUCUUAUUGAAAUCAUCACAGACGUAAACCAAACACACUUCUUACCACCACGAGGCGUUUGCAUGCAUGGAAGAUUCAAUCCGCAUGUGGACACACGAAUACGGCCCCGUAAAGAAUUGCUCAAGUUUUCCUUGACGAGUUCCAACAAUUUCAGGAUAUAAUUUUCGUUCAACAAAAUUAAAAACAGCUGAAACCGUUCACGAACGCGAAUUUCAAAAUAAUCGAGAUUUUAUGACAAUGGCCGCUCGAAGAUGAGUGCACAAUGACGUACUCCGCAAUUACUUAAUUAAUACUUAUCAAGUUUUCUUUGACGGCUAUAUACACGAGCAAUUUUCCUUCUUGAAAAAGCUGGCACGACCAGUGUCUCCUUGUCAAGGAAUACACGAAACCUGUCAACGAAAACUUGCUCGUCUGUAUGGGACUUAAACGUACAAGUAGGACGUUAAGCUGAAUUGCGAAGGAGGACGCAGUUCAAACGUGAUUGAGUCGAAAGUUUAUAAUGACGCCUGUGGGGGUGUAAGUGGGGUGCGCUAAUCACCCUUACUUUAAGCUGAGAGUAGACUUUCGCAAAGUCCUUCGUCGCUCGCUUAAAUUUAUAUUGUUAAGAAUUAUUGUUAAGAAGUCAACUUGUGGCAAGUCUAAGCUGAGAGCUAAGCUGAAUAGACCUUUCCCCUUUUGAGUGAAAUUUCGAUCUAGACAAGUCUGGACAAAAAUUUCAUCACAGCUUGAAAGAGCAUCACAAAAUUAGUAAUAUUCCGAAGUUUCGUUGCGAAAUGUUGUAAAAUGCGGAUAAUAUAGCCUUGCGAAGUUUGCCGUUUUUCAGUCAUUUUGUAUUACAAAUGGGAAAUUGGUAAUCAGUUUGAUCAUCUGAUUAUCAAUUUCCCGUUUGUAAUGCAAAAUGACUGAAAAACGGUAAACUUCGCAAGGCUAUAUUAUCCGCAUUUUACAACAUUUCCCAACGAAACUUCGGAAUAUUACUAAUUUUGUGAUUCUCUUUCAAGCUGUGAUGAAAUUUUUGUCCAGGUAUAUCUAGAUCAAAAUUUCACUCAUAAGGGGAAAGGUCUAUUGCGAAGGACGCAGGUCUAUUGCGAAGGACGCAGCUCAAGCUGAUCGAGUCGAAGAGUUUCUAAGGGCGCCUCUGGCAGCCACCCUUGUGACACAUAUCAGAUCAGAGGGUACGUUGGAAGAGUCAUCCAACCCACCCUGUCAACAUUUCUAGCAUUCCCUGCGGGAGGAAACCGGAGAUUUCCGAUAGAACGUUGACCGACUCUUUCCACGUAAGCGUCAUGAGUCCGCAACGAUCUCAUAGGCAAAAGGCGCUUGCUCUGAUCUACCACUUUUGUAUAUGAAUAGAUUGGCAAGAUCUGAAGCUGCGGGGAUUGAGACAGAGAGUUGAAGUGCUGCCAAUGCUGUUCAAGAAUGAACUAUCCUCAAGGCUACGCGGACAAACGCUUUCCAGUGAUAGUGAACGAGAACUUUCAUUGCCCUAUAUGCCAUCAGAUUCUGCGAGAUCCAGUCCAAUGCAGGCGAAAUGAACAUUAUUUCUGUUGUGCUUGCAUAACCAAGUAUCUAGAAAUCGCUCAAACCUGCCCCAAUUGC
rnacentral:lncRNA from 1 species